UGCCCGGUAGUGUAAUCGGUAACACAUUAGAUUUUGAUUCUGACAUUUCAGGUUCGAGUCCUGGCCGGGCAG
rnacentral:tRNA from 1 species